CGGGGUGUGUAAGUGCAGCGAUGCAUUGAGCUAACCCGUACUAAUUACCCGUGAGGCUUAACCAUACAACACCCAAGAAGUGUUCUG
rnacentral:rRNA from 1 species